AGAGUUUGAUCCUGGCUCAGGAUGAACGCUAGCGACAGGCUUAACACAUGCAAGUCGAGGGGCAGCGAGGGAGUGGCAACACUUCUGUCGGCGACCGGCGCACGGGUGAGUAACGCGUAUGCAACCUGCCCUUCACAGGGGGAUAACCGGGAGAAAUUCCGACUAAUACCGCAUACGUCCACAGGGGGCAUCCCCUGGGGAUGAAAGAGUUAUCGGUGAAGGAUGGGCAUGCGUGAUAUUAGGUAGUUGGCGGGGCAACGGCCCACCAAGCCCACGAUAUCUAGGGGUUCUGAGAGGAAGGUCCCCCACAUUGGUACUGAGACACGGACCAAACUCCUACGGGAGGCAGCAGUGAGGAAUAUUGGUCAAUGGACGAGAGUCUGAACCAGCCAAGUCGCGUGAAGGAAGACGGAUCUAUGGUUUGUAAACUUCUUUAGUGCGGGAACAAAGCGGCGUCGUGACGCCGGAUGAGUGUACCGCAAGAAUAAGCAUCGGCUAACUCCGUGCCAGCAGCCGCGGUAAUACGGAGGAUGCGAGCGUUAUCCGGAUUUAUUGGGUUUAAAGGGAGCGCAGGCUGGAGGCAAGUCAGCGGUCAAAUGUCGGGGCUCAACCCCGGCCUGCCGUUGAAACUGUCCUGCUAGAGUUCGAGUGAGGUAUGCGGAAUGCGUUGUGUAGCGGUGAAAUGCAUAGAUAUGACGCAGAACUCCGAUUGCGAAGGCAGCAUACCAACUCGCGACUGACGCUGAGGCUCGAAAGCGUGGGUAUCGAACAGGAUUAGAUACCCUGGUAGUCCACGCAGUAAACGAUGAAUACUAACUGUUCGGAGGGCGACCUCUGAGUGGUAAAGCGAAAGCGUUAAGUAUUCCACCUGGGGAGUACGCCGGCAACGGUGAAACUCAAAGGAAUUGACGGGGGCCCGCACAAGCGGAGGAACAUGUGGUUUAAUUCGAUGAUACGCGAGGAACCUUACCCGGGCUCAAACGUCGGGCGAAUCAUCCUGAAAGGGAUGAGCCAGCAAUGGCGGCC
rnacentral:rRNA from 1 species